rnacentral:rRNA from 1 species
CCUACGGGAGGCUGCAGUCGAGGAUCUUCGUCAAUGGGCGAAAGCCUGAACGAGCGAUGCCGCGUGAGCGAUGAAGGCCUUCGGGUUGUAAAGCUCAAAAGAGGUGAGAAAGGGUAACUUGAUCAAGCCUCAGUAAGCUCGGGCUAAGUUCGUGCCAGCAGCCGCGGUAAGACGAACCGAGCGAACGUUGUUCGGAAUCACUGGGCUUAAAGGGCGCGUAGGCGGGUUUUCAAGUCCGUGGUGAAAUACUCCAGCUCAACUGGAGAACUGCCUCGGAUACUGGGAAUCUCGAGGGUGGUAGGGGUAUGCGGAACUAUCGGUGGAGCGGUGAAAUGCGUUGAUAUCGAUAGGAACUCCGGUGGCGAAGGCGGCAUACUGGACCACUUCUGACGCUGAGGCGCGAAAGCCAGGGGAGCAAACGGGAUUAGAUACCCUGGUAGUC